rnacentral:rRNA from 1 species
AGAGUUUGAUCCUGGCUCAGAAUCAACGCUGGCGGCGCGCCUAACACAUGCAAGUCGAACGAGAAAGCAGGAGCAAUCUUGUGAGUAAAGUGGCGUACGGGUGAGUAACACGUGGAUUAUCUACCUUCUAGUGGGGGAUAACCCUGGGAAACCGGGGCUAAUACCGCAUAAGCUCGAGAGAGGAAAGCAGCAAUGCGCUGGAAGAGGAGUCCGCGGCCGAUUAGCUAGUUGGUAGGGUAAAAGCCUACCAAGGCUACGAUCGGUAGCCGGCCUGAGAGGGCGCACGGCCACACUGGCACUGAAACACGGGCCAGACUCCUACGGGAGGCAGCAGUGGGGAAUCUUGCACAAUGGGGGCAACCCUGAUGCAGCGACGCCGCGUGAGCGAUGAAGCCCUUCGGGGUGUAAAGCUCUUUCGGCAGGGAAGAUUAUGACGGUACCUGCAGAAGCAGCUGCGGCUAACUACGUGCCAGCAGCCGCGGUAAUACGUAGGCAGCAAGCGUUGUUCGGAGUUACUGGGCGUAAAGGGUGUGUAGGCGGUUCUCUAAGUCUGGUGUGAAAUCUCCCGGCUCAACUGGGAGGGUGCGCCGAAAACUGGAGGACUAGAGUGCGGGAUGGGAGAGUGGAAUUCCUGGUGUAGCGGUGAAAUGCGUAGAUAUCAGGAGGAACACCUGUGGUGUAGACGGCUCUCUGGACCGCAACUGACGCUGAGACACGAAAGCGUGGGUAGCAAACAGGAUUAGAUACCCUGGUAGUCCACGCCCUAAACGAUGCAUAUUUGGUGUGGGCCAUUCAUUUGGUCUGUGCCGGAGCUAACGCGUUAAAUAUGCCGCCUGGGGAGUACGGUCGCAAGGCUGAAACUCAAAGGAAUUGACGG